rnacentral:rRNA from 1 species
AUUGAACGCUGGCGGCAGGCUUAACACAUGCAAGUCGAGCGGAGCGAGGGUGCUUGCACCUUAGCUUAGCGGCGGACGGGUGAGUAAUGCUUAGGAAUCUGCCUAUUAGUGGGGGACAACGUUCCGAAAGGAAUGCUAAUACCGCAUACGCCCUACGGGGGAAAGCAGGGGAUCUUCGGACCUUGCGCUAAUAGAUGAGCCUAAGUCGGAGUAGCUAGUUGGGGGGGUAAAGGCCUACCAAGGCGACGAUCUGUAGCGGGUCUGAGAGGAUGAUCCGCCACACUGGGACUGAGACACGGCCCAGACUCCUACGGGAGGCAGCAGUGGGGAAUAUUGGACAAUGGGCGGAAGCCUGAUCCAGCCAUGCCGCGUGUGUGAAGAAGGCCUUUUGGUUGUAAAGCACUUUAAGCGAGGAGGAGGCUACUUAGAUUAAUACUCUGGGAUAGUGGACGUUACUCGCAGAAUAAGCACCGGCCAACUCUGUGCCAGCCGCCGCCGUAACAC